CCUACGAGCGGCAGCAGUGAGGAAUAUUGGUCAAUGGACGCAAGUCUGAACCAGCCAUGCCGCGUGCAGGAAGACGGCUCUAUGAGUUGUAAACUGCUUUUGUACGAGGGUAAACGCAGAUACGUGUAUCUGUCUGAAAGUAUCGUACGAAUAAGGAUCGGCUAACUCCGUGCCAGCAGCCGCGGUAAAACGGAGGAUUCAAGCGUUAUCCGGAUUUAUUGGGUUUAAAGGGUGCGUAGGCGGUCGGAUAAGUUAGAGGUGAAAUCCCGAGGCUCAACCUCGGAAUUGCCUCUGAUACUGUUCGGCUAGAGAGUAGUUGCGGUAGGCGGAAUGUAUGGUGUAGCGGUGAAAUGCUUAGAGAUCAUACAGAACACCGAUUGCGAAGGCAGCUUACCAAGCUACUUCUGACGUUGAGGCACGAAAGCGUGGGGAGCAAACAGGAUUAGAUACCCUUGUAGUC
rnacentral:rRNA from 1 species